AGGGGAUUGGGCGAGGGGAGGGGAGACGGAGCGGGUAAGCAAGCCAACAGUCACCAACCUGCAAAUCAACGCAAACUUCGCUUUAAAACAAGCCACAAAUGUCUACUUUGACCCAUCGAUAUGCUCGGACCGCGCCGUGGAUUUAGGCGGCAGCAGCAGCAGCGUGUCGUUCAUGGACACUUCUCGACACGGACGAGGAUUACACACGGCACUGACAAUAAAAACAACGAGGGAGAAUUCCGAAAAAAUAAAAGUAUUUUGAUAUUUCGUCUUUAAACAUGUUUGCGUCUCGAUGAGAACUUUAAUCCCAGGAAACAAUGAAGACCGAGCGAAGAAAGAAGUCAAGUGUGUGUUAGCCAUCCUUACCGUUAGCUAACCUUAGCAGGUUUGCUAAGCAAGGUUAGCUCGUCGGCUAACGCGAGCUACGUUUUUUUUUUUUUUUUUUUGACUAACUUUUUAUUGUUGGAGUCUAAGCACUGACGAAGUGUUCCAACAAGAGAGGGGAAGGGCGGGCUCCCUUCUGGACUUUCCCCGGAAUGAUGGCAGCGGAGGUCAGCAGCGAAGAGACGAGCUCGGUCACAACAGGCGGAGGCCCGGAGACAGCGGCCCCGUCCCCCUGCUGUGCCCAGUCGGCCAGAGUGAGAGCGGCUGAUCUGGGUCAGAAUUUUAACACAUCCCCGGACUCUCCCCCGGAUAUCAGCAUGAUCUACCCGCUGUCCAGUGGCGGAGGUGGACUGUCGGGGUUGCAAGGAUCGAGCUCAGGGAACUUGGGCGGCAUGUGCGGUUCUCCCACUUCGGAGGCACCGCCGGCCAGUCAGAUUUCACCCACAUCUCCAGGCCCGGAUGGGGGGACCGACUUACCUCCACUACCACCGCCGCCUCCGCCGCCUGGUUUAACGGGUCUCGGCGGUACUCUGGACGAAAGCGACAUGCAAGAUGGGCCGGAGUACGAGGAAGAAGAGGUGGUGUUCCCACUGUCUGCACCUCCCUCUAACCAGUGGUACCAUGGCAAGCUAGACCGAACCAUUGCAGAGGAGCGGCUGCGCCAGGCCCGGACCCAUGGCAGCUACCUCAUCAGGGAGAGUGACCGCCGGCCCGGUUCCUUUGUCCUGUCUUUCCUCAGCAUGACCAAUGUGGUCAACCACUUCAGGAUAAUUGCCAUGUGUGGGGACUAUUACAUUGGUGGACGGCGGUUCUCUUCCUUAUCAGACCUAAUUGGUUACUACAGCUAUGUGUCUUGUCUGCUCAAAGGAGAAAAGCUGCUAUGGCCUGUGGCCCCUCCAGAGCCUGUAGAAGACCGGAGGAGAGUAAGGGCCAUACUGCCAUACACCAAAGUGCCAGAUACUGAUGAGAUCAGCUUCCUGAAGGGUGACAUGUUUAUUGUUCACAAUGAACUGGACGACGGCUGGAUGUGGGUGACCAAUGUUCGCACAGAGGAGCAGGGCCUCAUUGUGGAAGAUCUGGUGGAGGAGGUGGGGCGGGAAGAGGAUCCACAUGAGGGAAAAAUCUGGUAUCACGGAAAGAUUACUAAGCAAGAGGCCUACAACCUGCUGAUGACAGUUGGACAGGUGUGCAGUUUCCUGGUGCGGCCAUCAGACAACACACCUGGGGACUACUCCCUUUUCUUUCGCACCAAUGAGAACAUCCAAAGGUUUAAGAUCUCUCCCACCCCCACCAACCAGUACAUGAUGGGGGGGAGGUACUACAACAGUGUCGACGAUAUCAUCGACCACUACAAAAAAGAGCAGAUUGUCGAAGGCUACAACUUGAAAGAUCCUGUUUCAGUGCAGCACCAAGAGCAAGUCAUCACAGACACAGUGGAUGGGAGAGAAAUUUACAACACAAUCAGGCGAAAAACAAAAGAUGCUUUCUAUAAAAACAUUGUCAAGAAAGGCUACCUCCUCUUCAACAAAGGCAAAGGCAAACGGUGGAAGAAUCUUUACUUCAUCCUGGAGGGCAAUGACGCCCAGCUGAUUUACUUUGAGAGUGAGAAAAGAGCCACAAAACCCAAAGGGCUGAUCGACUUAAGCGUGUGCUCCGUAUAUGGUGUGCACGACAGUCUAUUUGGCAGGCCAAACUGUUUCCAGAUUGUUGUCCAGCACUUUAGUGAGGAGCAAUACAUCUUCUACUUUGCAGGGGAGGUUCCAGAACAGGCACAGGAUUGGAUGAAAUGCCUUCAAACAUUCUGCAGUAAUUUAAGGAAAACAACACAACCCACUUCUAACAAAAGGCUAAGACAGGUAAGCAGCCUGGUGCUUUAUGUGGAGGAGGCCCAUAAGCUGCCAGUGAAGUAUUUCACUAACCCUUACUGCAACAUCUACCUGAACAAUGUCCAAGUGGCCAAGACGCACCCUAGGGAAGGGCAGAACCCUGUUUUCACUGAGGAGUUUAUUUUUGAUGAUCUUUCAAGUGAAAUCAACAGAUUUGAAAUCAGCCUGAGCAACAAAACGAAAAAGAGCAAAGAAAGUGACAUAUUAUUCAUGCGUUGCCAGCUGAGCCGUCUGCAGAAGGGCCAGAUGAGCGACGAGUGGUUCCAUCUCAGCUCUCACGUACCACUCAAGGGCAUCGAGCCGGGCUCAUUGCGUGUACGCGCCCGUUACUCCAUGGAGAAGAUCAUGCCGGAAGAGGAGUACAGCGAGUUUAAAGAGAUGAUACUGCAGAAAGAGUUCCAUGUCAUCUACGCUCUGGCCCACGUGUGUGGUCAGGACCGCACCUUAUUGGCAAGCCUCCUUCUAAGGAUCUUCAGACAUGAAAAUGAUGAAGCCCCCCUUCUCAGGACUCUCAAUGACCGAGAGAUUAACAUGGAGGAUGAAGCCACAACUUUGUUCCGAGCGACCACACUGGCCAGCACACUGAUGGAGCAGUACAUGAAGGCCACGGCCACGCCCUUCGUCCAUCACGCUCUGAAGGACACUAUUCUCAAGAUCAUGGAGAGCAAACAGUCAUGUGAGUUGAACCCAUCCAAACUGGAAAAGAAUGAAGAUGUGAACCUGAACCUGGCACAUCUUCUCAAUAUCCUGUCAGAACUGGUAGAAAAGAUCUUCAUGGCCGCUGAGAUCCUGCCAUCGACCCUGAGAUUUAUUUAUGGCUGUUUGCAAAAAUCUGUGCAGCACAAGUGGCCCACUAAUACGACCAUGAGGACCAGAGUCGUUAGUGGUUUCGUCUUUCUCAGACUCAUCUGUCCAGCAAUCCUCAACCCGAGAAUGUUCAACAUCAUUGCUGACCCUCCAUCAUCAACAGCAGGCAGGACCCUGACACUGGUGGCAAAGUCUGUCCAGAACUUGGCCAACCUCGUGGAAUUUGGUGCUAAGGAGCCUUACAUGGAGGGUGUGAAUCCUUUCAUCAAAAACAAUAAGCAUAGGAUGAUCAUGUUUCUGGAUGAGUUGGGGAACGUUCCUGACCUCCCUGAAGCCACAGAGCACUUUAGGACUGAUCUGUCCCGAGACCUGGCUGCGUUGCACGAGCUCUGCGCCACACACUCAGAUGAGCUGCGGACGCUCAGUAACGAGAGAGGGGCUCAGCAGCACGUGUUAAAAAAGCUGCUGGCCAUCACGGAGCUCCUGCAGCAGAAGCAGGCUCAGUACGCCAUGUCCAACAGCAACAGGUAGUCCCACACCCUCUCCCCUCCCUUCACUCCCAUCUUCACCCCCACACAACACACGCCAACUCUCCUCCACCCCGGGUGCUGCACUGUGAGGAGACCGCCGCAUGUCCUCCACCUCAUCUCCAUGGCAACACCAUCAUGUCCCAUCCAUCUUGUCGUGUCGGCCACCACCAAGAGCUAUGCAACAACAGCUGAGACCGAGUGCACCAUCAUGUCGCUAGCUGCCGCCAUCCAGGUCAUGUGAAGUGAAGGAGGCCGGGAGUUGUAUUUUGCAGCAUGUGGCCUGCGAUCCCCCCAUAGAUCAAAAAAGCAAUAUGGCCGUCCUCCGUUGGAGAGGACAUAUAUAAACAUUGUCCUUGCCUUUCCCAAAUAUGCUUUAGACACAGACGCCGUGUUGAACGAUGGACCUGAGCUGCAGUGAGCUAUGGACGUGGGCAUGGUAGCAACCAAAGUACUGAAGUAGCAUCGUCUGCGUUCUUCAGGGAAUUUUAACACAAGCCUUAACGUCCUUUCGACACACGUCCAGCUCUUCCUCUUUUAACCGUUUUUGUAUCGUCAACUUCUAUAGAGUUUGUAGCAAAACAGCAGAAAGGUGGUCUUACUUAAGACAUACUGUACAUAAGUGCAUGUGUUAAUAACUUCAUCGUCACCAAUUGUUCACUUCUCUGCAGUCUCUCCAGCCCAAGCAGGUGCUGGAACACACGCAUUUUUACACUUUUCGACUGUUCUCUUAGCUUCAAGCGCAGAUUUCACCUCGUGAUUGAAAGCUGCACUGUCAUACUGUUCACUGUAGGAACCUCACCGAGUGUUGGGUGGCGUGCCCUUGCUGUCCUUUCUCGUAUUUCAUACAGGCCAAUGUGUUCCUUUUUAUUUUUCUACCUGAUUCUGAACCUUUUUGCAUCUUAGAUACGACAACCUGGCAGUUGAAAUAAAAACAAAGUGGUGUGACGUGACGUACAACUGUCAAAGGUUUGUUAGCGGAGCUGAAAAUGUGUGACAUAGAACGUAGCUCGCAAGUUGUCCAAU